rnacentral:rRNA from 1 species
CCUACGGGCGGCAGCAGUGAGGAAUAUUGGUCAAUGGCCGGAAGGCUGAACCAGCCAUGCCGCGUGAAGGUCAGUGCCCUAUGGGCGUUAAACUUCUUUUGUGCGGGAGCAAUAAUGGGCACGUGUGGCCAGACGAAAGUACCGUACGAAAAAGGAUAGGCCAAAUCUGUGCCAGCAGCCGCGGUGAUAAGGAGGAUCUGAGCGUUAUCCGGAUUUAUUGGGUUUAAAGGGUGCGUAGGCGGGUUGAUAAGGGAGAGGUGAAAUGUCGGGGCUCAACCCCGAAACUGACUCUAAUACUGUUGGACUAGAGAAUAGUUGCGGUAGGCGGAAUGUAUGGUGUAGCGGUGAAAUGCUUAGAGAUCAUACAGAACACCGAUUGCGAAGGCAGCUUACCAAACUAUAUCUGACGUUGAGGCACGAAAGCGUGGGUAGCAAACAGGAUUAGAUACCCCAGUAGUC